rnacentral:rRNA from 1 species
GACGAACGCUGGCGGCGUGCUUAACACAUGCAAGUCGAACGGAAAGGCCCUGCUUUUGUGGGGUGCUCGAGUGGCGAACGGGUGAGUAACACGUGAGUAACCUGCCCUUGACUUUGGGAUAACUUCAGGAAACUGGGGCUAAUACCGGAUAGGAGCUCCUGCUGCAUGGUGGGGGUUGGAAAGUUUCGGCGGUUGGGGAUGUACUCGCGGCUUAUCAGCUUGUUGGUGGGGUAGUGGCUUACCAAGGCUUGGACGGGUAGCCGGCCUGGGAGGGUGACCGGCCACAUGGGGCCUGAGAUACGGCCCAGACUCCAACGGGAGGCAGCGGUGGGGAAUAUUGCGCAAUGGGCGGAAGCCUGAUGCAGCAACGCCGCGUGCGGGAUGACGGCCUUCGGGUUGUAAACCGCUUUCGCCUGUGACGAGGCGUGAGUGACGGUAAUGGGUAAAGAAGCACCGGCUAACUACGUG